UAACAUUCCUGACCAACAACCUUAUGAGGCAGACCGUUUUGUUACCAAUGCUGUCUUACGGAUGAAAGAUGGGAAGCACAGAGAGGGAGACAUGGGUUCAAUCCCUGGUCUGGGAAGAUUCUACAGGCUGUGGAGCAAUUGAGCCCUUGCACCAUGACUACUGAAGCCUGUGAGCCCUAGAGCCUGUUCUCUGCAACAAGAGAAGCCACCCCAAUAAGAAGCCUAUGCACUGUAACUAGAGAAAGCCUGUGUGCAGCAACGAAGACCU
ensembl:lncRNA